UUCAGUUUUGCGAGCACAGCAAACAGCUGUCUUUCUAUCAGUUCCCUCUGUGUCUGUGACUCUCUCCUUCUCUGCUGGGUCCAGAAAUAUAACAUUGGCCACACAGGAUUUAUAUCCCAUGAGCGUCCAGUGCUCCCAUUACCUGAACAACAAAGAGAAAGAGUGAGCAGAUAAUACUGUGAAAGGGGAACAAAGUUCACCUAGAGGCACAGGGUAACAGACUUUUGUUCCUGGGAACUAGUUAGCUACAGAGGGGGAAGUAGGCAAUUAGAAGCAGAACAAAGGAGCUGUUCAAACAAGACAGUGAAGUAGAAGCAAGCAGCCAUCUUUGUUGACCAGGUGCAAGCAGGCAGGCAAACAGCCUUUAGCCUGCACUACAGCGUCUAUAAUCAGCAGAGGGAGCCCAAAUGCAGCCAAAGGAAGAAUUUUGAAUUUUGCAGUAUAAGAACACAGCCAGCAGAGGGUGAUCCAGAGAAGAUAGUGUACGAUUGGGGGCGGGGGGAAAAGGUAAAGAAAGAAUUUCCUCGUGGAAGAGAAGUCCAGGAGGUGCGAAGUUCUACAGGAGAGCAGUAAAAAGGCAGCUUUUAUGGGCAAUAUUGGUGAAUAAUGGGUGAUGUACCUCAAACAUUCUGAGCAAUUUGUAACCUGCAACACCAUUCCAGAUGGACAAAGAAUUUCAGCCUUACUGACAGUGAUGCCAUAUGGACUGCUGUGUCUCCAACUAUGCCCAGAACUGCCACGUAUGCUGCAAUUACUGCAGCAAUGCAGGAAUAUUUUUCUUCUAUCCCAUUGAUGAUAGCUGAAUGAUAGUAGUUUCAUCAGUGACAUCAGGGAAGUGGACAGUCAGUAGCACAGUUUGUUGCCGCUCUCAGGAAGUUGUCAGAGCAUUGUCAGUUUGGAGAAACAUUAAGUGAUGCCCUGCAUGACCAGUUAGUCUCUGGAUUACACAAUGACCACAUUAGAAUGAAGUUACUGGCUGUAACAGAGGUUACAUUCAGAAAGGCUGUUGAUGUAGCAGUUGCAAUGGAAACCACAGAGAUGGGAUUCUCUGUGAAGGGAUAAAAUCCAUAUGCUGUUUAUGUUACAACCUGCUAUAUAGACUGUGUCAGCUCUUUUUACAGGCCCCAAAUCCAGAGCUUGGUCAAGAAGACGGAGGCCUAGCAAAUAGUGAACAAUAUUAGCUAAGAAGCAGAACAAACAAAGGACAACCUUGCUUUUUGCUAAGAUAAGCUUGGUCAGCAAGAAGCCAGGUGGAAAUUAUAAUUGGGGGCUUUAUCUCAAAGUUGCAAACAGACCAAAGGAAAGAAAGGGGCCCUGUUUCUUCUGUAGAAGUGGUGCCUUCCUACACACCAGCCUUGAGUUUAUGGAAGAGGUUCAGACAUGUCAGUAUGAGAUAUGAUAUCCUCCCUCUCACAGAUGUGCACCUCUCCUCCAAGCCAUUGCCAGUGCCUGCCUUAGAAACACAAAUGAACAACUACAAGACAAUCUUUAUUGCUAUAUACUUUUCAUUUGUCCUUUUGCUUUAACUCCUAGGUGUGUACCUGUCGGACAAUCAGGGGAGCUACUUCAUUCCUAUGGAUCCCAAAUCAGAAUUCAACAUAUAUAUUUUAUACUAACACACUCUAUAUAUUGUUUAAAGGAAAACACCUCUGUACUAAUUAAGUGUCAUGUGUUAACCUGAAACCAUGGGCGAAAACAUUAUGUAAUCUUUGACUAUUGGCUACUGUGCUUAUCUUGUCUUGCUGUUGGACCUAUCCAGGGGUCUGGGACUGCCUACCCUGUCAUUUCCCUCCGCCCAUGGAAAAUCCAUAGAAUGUAUUGUAAUCAAUUGUUUGGCAGUGUCUCUGAGCCUAAUAAGCAAGGUGACACUCCGCCAGCACUGUGCAUAAUAAACCCACAUACUUGAUUCUACACGGUGUCCAUAUUCUGUUCCUUCAGAUGGGGGCUCAUCCGGGAUGCAAGCUUGUGAACUGAUUGAGGAACUGAGACUGAAAUCCCAAACGAGGUGUCUCCACAGGUGAACAAGAGGAAGUGGAAGAGGAAGGACUGAAGGGUGACCAGGGCAACCAGAGUGACCAUGGGGAGGCUCCUGCUGUGGCUCCUGCUGUCCCUGUGGUGCAUGAGGAAGGACGCAAAUAGUGUGCCAUGUGAAAAGGAGGACUGGGAGUGGGUCACUAACCCCAGUCCUCCGAGUUUGCUUCGCUUCAACUGCCACGCUAAGGAAACACUUAGCUUUUGCAAAACACGUGCAGUGGUCAAUAAACAGCUCUGGCCAGAGGUAAAGGUGGCACUAUGGUUAGGACAUGAGCACACAGUGGAACGUAAAAAGGUCCAAAUAAAAUCAUACACUGAUGCUCAUAACAAUAGGAAGACUAGUAACAUCACAAUUUUAAUAACAGCUGACUGCCCAGUUAUUCGCUGGUGGCAGGUGCCAGAGAUUAUGGAGUUUUAUGGAGGCAUUUGGAAGGAAUCAUGGAAGUGCAUGAGCUACCCCUUUGAGCAGGGUGACAGCCUUAGAUGAUGCUGUGGCCCUCUUAGAGGGACAGUGUCUAUACUUAAUGCAACCAGUGUCCGGAUUACCUUUAAAGGGGGACAGCUGCAUACUACUAGUGAAGGGGACUCAAAGUCCUGGGCUAUCCCUCAUUUGAACACAAUUACAUAGCAUAUUGCCACGAUGGCUUGGGAGGAAACACAUAGACCUCGGUACUGGAAUUUGUGUGGGAUUUUGUGCGAAAGAAACCAAACACUCAUGAAAGAUCAUGUGCCAAUUAUACUGACAUGGUACCUGUGAAGGUUGGGCCUGCUGAUUCAGGAUAGGGCUUACCACUUAAAGCAUGGACCGAGGUAACCCCAAAGGCAUGGCAAACGUCGUUAAACAAUGGCCCAAAUUAGAAUGUCCAUGACUGGUAACAACCAAGUUAUCAGAUACAGAGUGGAACCACCUGACUGUGUGUCAUGCCCUGAACAAAUCCCUGUUCUAGAACCAGGAUUGGUAAUGAUAGGACCAACACUACCGGUCCUCACCUCGGUAGUAUUCCACACCUACAGGGUCGAGGGGCAUAUUCCAUUAGAGGAAGCGAACAGACAGUGUGCAAAGGUCAGGCCUCGAAUGAGUAGAAAUAUUACUAGCCUAACAAACCAAAUUGGUGAGCGCUUAACUAGACAGAAAAGGGGGUUACUAGAUACCAUUGCAGGAUGUGUUGGUGCAGCUAAUUCUGUUGGCAACACCUAUAACAUAGCACGCCAAGCUGAGAAGAGGGAUCAACUUGAGUCAAGGCUGGCAGAUGCUGUAAUCUCUAAUGCCUGGGGAGGACUGGAUACUAAUAAGGCCAGUCGAUUGAUCCUAGACAGUUUAAAGGAUCUGUCAACCUCUGUAUCUGUCAACCUCUGUCCACCUCAUUAGAUAUAACAAAAUACCUGGGUAAAGAAGUCACCACCCUGCUGAUAAAUGGUACCAAAAUAAAGGCACUGGAAGAGAGUUGUUGGAGAGCAGGACAAACUUUGGCCAUCACCACACGAUCUCCUUGAUGGCUGGAUCCACCCAGCCCUUAUGGAAGUGGUGGGACCCUAUCUCCCCAGUACCCCUCCGUGGGCAUGGGGAAACAGAGAAUCAAUGAGAGUCCAAAGACCAGUUUGGACAGGUCACAGUAUACUCUUUAACCUUCUGGUACCUCUGGGCAUCCCUAAUUUCCAGCGAGCCAGGAUGGUGACCUCCUUGCCAGAAUGGAGGAGGGGUCAUGUUAUUAAGAUAGAAGGCGUUGCAUACUCCGAGGUCACUGGGAGAGUAUUGUAGCCUAGUGAAUGUUGCACCCACUCUGAUAAGGAAAUUCUGUGUACAAGCCCAUAUAAUAUUCUAACGAAUCUGUCUAGGUUCGAAGUGGCCAUCACUGAGAAACUGGCGCACACGGAGCUGGUCCAAAUGAACAGUACCUAUUGGUGUGUGACUGCCCAGAACCACUCCAUCAAGCUAAAUGGAAAGCCCUGCCCCUCGAGACAUCCAUCGGUGUGCAUGACAGUACCCCGAAGGGCGACCCUGACCGUUGAUGGGACACGGCUCCACAGUACUCUGCCAACGAUGGGUAACCUAACAUGGGAUCCGGAAUGGCACUAUGGCAGUAAAUAUCUAGAGGAAGGUCUACAGGCCCUGCAGGCGAAGAUCAAGGAGUUGGUGGCUGAGACCCAGAGGCAUAUUGAGGAAGGCUGUCUGAGAUACAACCUGAUAGAGGAAACCGUGGAUCAGACCGAUGUGAAGUACUCGAAGGCAUGAAACCAGGCAGUGGAGGUUAAAGCGAUGAUUAUGGUCAGUGCCAUCUCAGGUGAUGGCCCAUACAGGCGCAAAAUCCAGAGUUUGCUCAAGAAGACAGAGGUCUAGCAAAUAGUGAACAAUAUUAGCUUAGAAGCAGAACAAACAAAGGACAAGCUUGCUUUUUGCUAAGAUAAGCUUGGUCAGCAAGAAGCCAGGUGGAAAUUAUAAUUGGGGGCUUUAUCUCAAAGUUGCAAACAGACCAAAGGAAAGAAAGGGGCCCUGUUUCUUCUGUAGAAGUGGUGCCUUCCUACACACCAGCCUUGAGUUUAUGGAAGAGGUUCAGACAUGUCAGUAUGAGAUAUGAUAUCCUCCCUCUCACAGAUGUGCACCUCUCCUCCAAGCCAUUGCCAGUGCCUGCCUUAGAAACACAAAUGAACAACUACAAGACAAUCUUUAUUGCUAUAUACUUUUCAUUUGUCCUUUUGCUUUACCUGUGUACUAAUUAAGUGUCAUGUGUUAACCUGAAACCAUGGGCGAAAACAUUAUGUAAUCUUUGACUAUUGGCUACUGUGCUUAUCUUGUCUUGCUGUUGGACCUAUCCAGGGGUCUGGGACUGCCUACCCUGUCAUUUCCCUCCGCCCAUGGAAAAUCCAUAGAAUGUAUUGUAAUCAAUUGUUUGGCAGUGUCUCUGAGCCUAAUAAGCAAGGUGACACUCCACCAGUGCUGUGCAUAAUAAACCCACGUGCUUGAUUCUACACGGUGUCCAUAUUCUGUUCCUUCACUCUGCAAUUUAGCCUGCACUGAAAAGUUCAUCUCGUGAAUCAGCAAGACAGAGGACCACAGAAACAUAAGGAAUUUCCAUGUGGCAGUUUGCACAAACUGUGCUUGCUGAAAAGGACUGCUGGGCACACCAAGUCACUUGCAGAAGGAGGGACACAUCAACAUGAUCUGUCGCACAGUUCAACAACUAGUAGCAGAGUAAACAUACAUAAAAGACACCUGUGACAACUGAACCUAAGAAAGGAUGGUAGUUGGGAAUUCAUAAUGUAGAAAAAGACAAGAGCUGUAGUGACACUGAUCAAGGCCUAGCACUGCAUGUGUUAUCAGAAGAUGGAGUCAAAGAUGGGAUCUGGGUCACACCCUUGAUAGAAGGAGUUCCUACAAGAAUUCAGCUUAAUACGGGGAGCUGCUGUCUCAUUGAUUUCUGCAUCCACCUAUCACCAGACUUUGUCACAAGUUCCACAAGAAGAAACAUCCAUGGUUUUGAAAUGUUAGUCCUAAAAGGGAUACUCCAGGUAAAAGUUCAACUAUAUGGACUAUCAGUUGUUUUACCCUUGUAUGUGACUGAACAAAAGUAUCCACCAUUAUUUAGCAGAUCUUGGCUUGAGAUGCUCAAAGUGAAUUGAACUGAUAUCAAGGCGAUCACCAAAGCACUUCAAAAUCUUCAAGAAAUACUGGACAGACACUUCAAGCUCUGUUUCAAAAUCUUUGGACAAAGCAACAUGUCAGUGAAGCUCACUGUUAAGUCUGACAGCCAACCAUAAUAUUGCAACCCCAGAGUUAUGUCUUAUGCUCUGAAGCCUCUAGUAGAAGCUGAUUUGGACUGUUUAGUGAACAUUGGAGUCUUGUUAUUGGUUUCGCACAGUGCGUGGGCUACAUCUAUUGUACCAGUGUUCAAGAAGGAAGGCUCAGUCCAAAUUUGUGGAGAUCUCAAAGCGAUGCUGAAUCCAGUUUUACAUGCAGACCAGUAUCCUCAGAUGAAGUAUUCUAUCUCAAAUUUGAAGGAUAGGUUACUCAUCACUAGCACAGACAUCCACAAAGAAACUGCUAAGGAUAAUGUGUUUUUGCUUAUGAAGGGAAUGGUACUACAGGGUAUGGCAUUGGAUCAAAAUAAUCCCCAGUUUACACAAUUCGUAUCACGUCAAUAUGAAUUAUCUGUGAAUCAUAGUUGCAUUUUAUGGAGAAUGUGAGUGAAUGUUCCAAAAUCACUUCAGGGUCAGGUUUUGGAAGCUCUUAAUGAAGGUGAUUUUGGCAUUGUAUGGAUGAAGACCAUAGUCUGGAGUCAUAUCUGGUGGCUGGGGACUGACAAAGCUAUUGAGAGGAAUGUAAAGUGCUGUACUAUGUGUAAGCAAAUUCAGCAUGAUCCUGACCUAUCUCAUCUACAGCCUUGGUCGUGGCCUCAGACUUCUUGAAUAUAUAUUCAUGUGGACUUUGCUGGACCUUUAGAAGAUUCCAUGUUCAAAAUGGCCAGAAGUUUUCAGAAUGACUUCUACAACAGUCACUAAGACCAUUGGACAUAUCUGUAGUUUGUUUAGCAAGUUUAGUUUACUGGUACAGUUGGUGAGUUACAUUGGACCUCAGUUCUGUUCUGAAGAAUUUCACAGGUUCCUAGCUUCAAUUAAAAUUCAGCACAUAUGCUCUGCACCAUACUAUCCUGCUACAAAUCGACUAGCAGAAUGCUUUAGGUAAAUACUUAAGAAUGCCUUAAAAACUAACAAAUCUAUUUUGAGUCAUCAGCAGAAAUUGGACAAUUUCUAGCUUCUCUCCAGGAACCCUCCACAUGCUACUACCCAGGAAUCACCUGCAUAUUCUUUUCUUGAAGCAAUAUUUGUGUACCUGUUGGAACCUGCUACGUCCUGAAAUUGCUUCAUGUGUAGCCAAAUUCCAAGCUAUGCAAAUUGAUCAAUCAUAUGAGACUCGUCACCACUGUUUUCAAGUUGGAGACUUAGCCCUGGACUACACUACAAGUUUAGGUCGAAUUUAGCAGUGUUAGAUCAAUUUAACCCUGCACCCGUCCACACAAUGAAGCCAUUUUUGUCAACUUAAUGGGCUCUUAAAAUCGAUUUCUGUACUCCUCCCCGACGACGGGAUUACCGCUGAAAUCGACAUCGCUGGGUCGAAUUUGGGUUAGUGUGGAUGCAAUUCGAUGGUAUUGACCUCCAGGAGCUAUCCCACAGUGCUCCAUUGUGACCACUCUUGACAGCACUCACAACUCGGAUGCACUGGCCAUGUAGACAGGAAAAGCCCUGCGAACUUUUGAAUUUCAUUUCCUGUUUGGCCAGCAUGGCAAGCUGAUCAGCACAGGUGACCAUGCAGAUCUCAUCAGCAGAGGUGACCAUGGAGUCCCAGAAUCGCAAAAGAGCUCCAGCAUGGCCCGAACGAGAGGUACUGGAUCUGAUCGCUGUAUGGGGAGAUGAAUCUGUGCUAUCAGAACUCCAUUCCAAAGACAAAAUGCCAAAAUAUUUGAAAAAAUCUCCAAGGGCAUGAAGGACAGAGGCCAUAACGGGGAGCAGCAGCAGUGCCAUGUGAAACUUAAGGAGCUCAGGCAAGCCUACCAAAAAACCCAAGAGGCAAAUGCCCGCUCAGGGUCAGAGCCCCAGACAUGCUGCUUCUAUGAUGAGCUGCAUGUAAUUCCUGGGGGUGCCCUUACAACUACCCCACACUUGUAUGUGAACUCCUGCAAAGGAGUCUCAUGCAAAAGAGAUGAGGAUUUUGGGGAUGAGUAAGAUGAUGAGGAGGGGGAGGUUGAAGAUAGCGCACACCAGGCAAGUGGAGAAACCAUUCUCCCCGACAGCCAGGAACUGUUUAUCACCCUGGAGACAGUACCCUCCCAACCUGGGCUCCUGGACCUUGAAGGUGGAGAAGGCACCUCUGCUGCAAAUGUUUCAACACUGUGACUAGCAUCUCCAUCCCAGAGGCUAGCACAGAUAAGAAAGCAAAAAAACCGCACUUGCGAUGAAAUGUUCUCUGAGCUCAUGCAGUCCACCCAAACUGAAAGAGCCCAUCACAGUGCAUGGUGGCAGACAACGGCAGAGUCCAGGAAAGCACAAAAUGAACACGAGGACAGGAGGGAUGCAUGAGAGGACAAGUGGUGGGAGCAACAGGAGAGGUGGCGGGAUCAAGAGGAAAGGUGGCGGCAACAUGAUGAAAGGAGGCAGGAUGCAAUGCUGAAGCUACUGGAGAUUCAAACUGAUAUGCUCUGGCGUAUGGUUGAGGUGCAGGAAAGGCACAGACUGCCACUGCAGCCCCUGUGUAACCAACCGCCCUCCUCCCCAAGUUCCAUAGCCUCCUCACCCAGAUGCCCAAAAACGGGGGGGGGGGAGGGGGCUCCCUCUGGGUACCCAACCACUCCACCCCAGAGGACUGCACAAGCAACAGAAGGAUGGCAUUCAAUAAGUUUUGAAGUGCAGUGCAGCCUUGUCCUUCCCUCCUCCCCCACCCAUCCCGGGCUACCUUGGUAGUUAUCCCCCUAUU